GAAACAGUCCUUCUUCCUCAGAAGGCCACUGCAUGUGACCAAUGCCCAAACUGAGCACUGGUCAAAUAUCUUAUGAGCUUUAUGAUUAUCAACUUUCCCACAAUAUCUUUCAUUAGAAGACAUCUCCACUUUACACAAAACACUGUCUUAUCCAAACCCAUAUUCAUGUACAACUGUCUGUGUACUGACAGCAUCAAAAUUCACACCAUCCAGUGGAACUAAUACAGGUCCAAUGUAAGUGGCUCCCAGUGACCUCUCCAAAAGGAAAGGAUGAAGUCAUUUGCAAUGUUGGUGGAACAAGACAUUCGAGUGAAGUCCCAAAGGCACAGCCUUCCCCGCGAGUCCCCUCUGCACCCGGGACCUGGGAGCACACAGAACAGGAAAACAAACCGAAACUCACUGACCUCUCUCAGCAGCAGGCUCGGCUCUGUUACGCCGCCGGCGGCUGCAGCAACGUCGGAAGCAUCCCGGGGGUCCGCACUGCCCGCUGCGCUCUGCUAGACGAGCGCUGAGGGCCGGCUGCUGCCUGCUCCUCCCGCCGCAGGUUGCGGGGCAGCGCGGGCAGAGUGGCGGCAGCGCCUCCCGCAGCCCAGCCCUGCUCGUCUCUCCUUUGGCUUCAGGCGGCGCCCUCCACCUGCCCGGCUGUCCUCCGCCUCCACGAUCGGACACCCGCCGCCAGGCACCGGACACUGAGCGGAAGCUUUUGGUGUCACCCCCAGAGACCCAAGCACUGAAGGGAGCGCGAGGCUGAGUGAGCUCUGCUCCGCGGACCGCCCCUCCCCGGCGGCUCCACCCCCUCCCGCACUCCACCCGGCAGCUUGGCCGGCACGUCCGACUGUCUGUCUGUCGGUCGGUCCCCAGUGGCCAACCUCUUGGUGUGGGUGGGGAAGCAGGGACGCGCCCUCUACCCACCGUAGACCCGCGAGCACCUGGACCGAGCACGGAAGGAGGACCUGAACCGUAUCAGGUGUGACCUAGAGGCCGAGCACCACAGGCUAGAACGACUGGGACUGGUCGAGGUGGUGACCCAGCUGCGGCUCUGGACUCAAGACCACAGGGGAGAGGGAGGAGUCUAGGCUAUUGCCUUUCCCCUGGGUUCUUUUUGGCUGCCCCUGAAAGUUCACUAACCCAAC
rnacentral:lncRNA from 1 species